AUUGAACGCUGGCGGCGUGCUUAACACAUGCAAGUCGAUCGGUAACAGGUGUAGCAAUACAUGCUGACGAGAGGCGGACGGGUGAGGAACGCUUGGGAAUCUGCCUAUCAGCGGGGGACAACCCGGGGAAACCCGGGCUAAUACCGCAUACGCUCUACGGAGGAAAGCCGGGGACCGCAAGGCCUGGCACUGAUAGAUGAGCCCAAGUCGGAUUAGCUAGUUGGCGGGGUAACGGCCCACCAAGGCGACGAUCCGUAGCUGGUCUGAGAGGACGAUCAGCCAAACCGGAACUGAGACACGGUCCGGACUCCUACGGGAGGCAGCAGUGGGGAAUAUUGGACAAUGGGCGAAAGCCUGAUCCAGCGACGCCGCGUGGGUGAAGAAGGCCUGCGGGUUAUAAAGCCCUUUCGGUAGGGACGAAAGCUCUUGCCCUAACAAGGCAGGAGGUUGACUUAACCUACAUAAGAAGCACCGGCUAACUCUGUGCCAGCCGCCGCCGUAAAAC
rnacentral:rRNA from 1 species